rnacentral:rRNA from 1 species
GAUGAACGCUGGCGGCGUGCCUAAUACAUGCAAGUCGAGCGAACAGAUAAGGAGCUUGCUCCUUUGACGUUAGCGGCGGACGGGUGAGUAACACGUGGAUAACCUACCUAUAAGACUGGGAUAACUUCGGGAAACCGGAGCUAAUACCGGAUAACAUAUUGAACCGCAUGGUUCAAUAGUGAAAGGCGGCUUUGCUGUCACUUAUAGAUGGAUCCGCACCGUAUUAGCUAGUUGGUAAGGUAACGGCUUACCAAGGCAACGAUACGUAGCCGACCUGAGAGGGUGAUCGGCCACACUGGAACUGAGACACGGUCCAGACUCCUACGGGAGGCAGCAGUAGGGAAUCUUCCGCAAUGGGCGAAAGCUUGACGGAGCAACGCCGCGUGAGUGAUGAAGGUCUUCGGAUCGUAAAACUCUGUUAUCAGGGAAGAACAAAUGUGUAAGUAACUGUGCACAUCUUGACGGUACCUGAUCAGAAAGCCACGGCUAACUACGUG